UGCCACAGUCAGAUUGGAAAGUCAGUCAUU
rnacentral:piRNA from 1 species